rnacentral:rRNA from 1 species
UACGUAGGUGGCGAGCGUUGUCCGGAUUUACUGGGCGUAAAGAGCGCGCAGGCGGUCGUUCAAGUCGCGUGUGAAAGCCCCCGGCUCCAACUGGGGAGGGUCACGGCGAUACUGAUCGACUCGAAGGCAGGAGAGGGAAGUGGAAUUCCCGGUGUAGUGGUGAAAUGACGUAGAUAUCGGGAGGAACACCAGUGGCGAAGGCGACUUCCUGGCCUGUUCUUGACGCUGAGGCGCGAAAGCUAGGGUAGCAAACGGGG